UACGUAGGGGGCAAGCGUUGUCCGGAAUCAUUGGGCGUAAAGAGCUCGUAGGCGGUUCGGCAAGUCGGGUGUGAAAACUCCAGGCUCAACCUGGAGACGCCACCCGAUACUGCUGUGACUUGAGUCCGGUAGGGGACCACGGAAUUCCUGGUGUAGCGGUGAAAUGCGCAGAUAUCAGGAGGAACACCGGUGGCGAAGGCGGGUCGUCUGGGCCGGCAUGACUGACGCUGGAGGAGCGAAAGCGUGGGGAGCGAACAGG
rnacentral:rRNA from 1 species